UAAAAGGGUGUCUCCCGCUUACAUGGGACGCCAGACCAAUGCGGUUCUGACGAGGUAUGGCCAUCAAUACAUACCUGACACGUAAUUUUUUUAACUGCGGGCAGUUGGCUACCAUCGCGUGCCGGCGCCUGC